rfam:Tupaia chinensis contig221807, whole genome shotgun sequence.
UUUAGGCCAGAGCUCUAGUCACAUCACCUCCCCUCACUGCUUAGGAGAGGUGAUGUGACUAGAGCUCUGGCCUAAAG